UACGGGGGGGGGCAAGCGUUGUUCGGAAUUACUGGGCGUAAAGGGCUUGUAGGUGGCCAACUAAGUCAGACGUGAAAUCCCUCGGCUUAACCGGGGAACUGCGUCUGAUACUGGAUGGCUAGAGUGUGGGAGAGGGAUGCGGAAUUCCAGGUGUAGCGGUGAAAUGCGUAGAUAUCUGGAGGAACACCGGUGGCGAAGGCGGCAUCCUGGACCGGCAUUGACGCUGAGGCGCGAAAGCCAGGGGAGCAAACGGGG
rnacentral:rRNA from 1 species